rnacentral:rRNA from 1 species
AGCAUGUGGUUAAUUCGAAGCAACGCGAAGACCUUACCAGGUCUUGACAUCCCGAUGCUAUUUCUAGAGAUAGAAAGUUACUUCGGUACAUCGGUGACAGGUGGUGCAUGGUUGUCGUCAGCUCGUGUCGUGAGAUGUUGGGUUAAGUCCCGCAACGAGCGCAACCCCUAUUGUUAGUUGCCAUCAUUCAGUUGGGCACUCUAGCGAGACUGCCGGUAAUAAACCGGAGAAGUGGGGAUGACGUCAAAUCAUCAUGCCCCUUAUGACCUGGGCUACACACGUGCUACAAUGGUUGGUACAACGAGUUGCGAGUCGGUGACGGCGAGCUAAUCUCUUAAAGCCAAUCUCAGUUCGGAUUGUAGGCUGCAACUCGCCUACAUGAAGUCGGAAUCGCUAGUAAUCGCGGAUCAGCACGCCGCGGUGAAUACGUUCCCGGGCCUU